UUUAUGAGUGCAGGCCUGAGCUGUUCAGAGAACCUGGAGGGGUCAUCUCAGGUAGUUUGUCAAAUCACUGAUUGUUUCGCCAUCCUUGCUUGCCCACUCAUUUGUGUCUUAAAUAUGAUUAAUGUUCAUGAGAAGUGUAACCAAAAGAGGACUAAUCUGCUACAACUCCUCUCCUUUGGGGAGAUUCAAAGGUUAACGUGUGAAGUUUAUUAUGCCUGCUCUUGGUGGGGGUCAGAAAAUCUUUCUAGCAUAUGUGCCAACGUGCUCCUUCCAGACUGACAGGACCAAACAAAGAACCUUCCAUACAGACAUGCAGUCAUUUACUGAAUGGUAUUGAAAAGAUUUUAACCUCCAUAGAACACUGUAUGACAUAUAUAACAGUCAAAAGUCAACCUUUCAGAAUCUAGGGAACUAAUUUAGUACCUGUGCCACCCAAAUAUCUUUUCUCCUCUGAAUACAAGGAUAGAUGCAGUGUCAUAAGCCCCUGUGCUUUACUUCUGUAACUUUAUGAAUGAAUCUAUGACAAAUGCAUAUCUUUAUCUGGUUUCUCAAAAAGGAAUAAAAUAACCUAACUAUCUUUGAGUCGAAAACACAACUCAAUGAGAAGAUUAUUACAAAUAGGCCUAAGUGUUGCUUCACAAAUAAGAGAACAAUGUGAUGUAGAUGAAGACGUGGAAAUCAAAAUAUAAAAGCCAAGAUUAAGAUUUUAAGUCGAAGCUGAUUUCUCAUAUCAUCUUUCUACAAACUCUACAAAUGAUGGACAUCAGGAAAACACAUCCAUAAACACUAUUUUAUCUGAUGCGUUAAACUCAAUACAUGUAGGAUUCUCGCCUUUGGUUAUUAGGACUUCUAUCUGUAUCGCCUCCAAACUUUCCACACAUUCCUGAGGCAUCUUGGCAUCGUACAGCUGAGAGGUACAUUAAGCUUUUGUUGACAACUUUGAAAACGUGCCCAACCUCUUCUCAUCUGUCGAAUAAUAAUCUGCGUAUGCUGCCGACCACGAGGCGAACGACCUGUCACUCAAACUGCAGUUUUGUACUUACGUGUAGGUGAGGUGAAUAUUUGAUGAAGAAGCAGCACGAGACACCAGAACCAAAUCAUAUUUCUCGUGGAAUACUCUUUGAUAAACACGCCGGUCGGGGAAAGUUAAGUCUUGUAGGUCAACUACACUCAACUACAACCUGUAUUUGGUCCAGGAUGAGGAUGAUAAGUCAAUGUAACUGUGUGCAGGAUUCCUGAGAUAGAAGCUCAGCAUUUCAUCUAGGCAGAGGGAGAGCCAUACUAUGACACUGUUUCCAGUACCAUCACGGCCACUGAGGUGAAGAUGUGUGAAAAUGUGCUUGCCUUCAUCUAGAGGGCGCCUUGUGUCUCAUACUUGGUGAG